CGGGACGUGGCGCAGCUUGGUAGCGCACUUGACUGGGGGUCAAGGGGUCGUGGGUUCGAAUCCCGCCGUCCCGACC
rnacentral:tRNA from 1 species